rnacentral:rRNA from 1 species
AUUGAACGCUGGCGGCAUGCCUUACACAUGCAAGUCGAACGGAGUGGCGAACGGGUGAGUAAUGUAUCGGAACGUGCCCAGUAGCGGGGGAUAACUACGCGAAAGAGUAGCUAAUACCGCAUACUAUUGGAGCGGCCGAUAUCGGAUUAGCUAGUUGGUGGGGUAACGGCUCACCAAGGCGACGAUCCGUAGCUGGUUUGAGAGGGCGACCAGCGAAACGGGGACUGAGAAACGGCCCAGACGCCUACGGGAGGCAGCAGUGGGGAAUUUUGGACAAUGGGGGAAACCCUGAUCCAGCCAUCCCGCGUGUGGGAUGAAGGCCUUCGGGUUGUAAAGCACUUUUGGCAGGAAAGCGGUACCUGCAGAAUAAGCACCGGCUAACUACGUGCCAGCAGCCGCGGUAAUUC